rnacentral:rRNA from 1 species
GACGAACGCUGGCGGCGCGCUUAACACGUGCAAGUCGAACGGAAAGGCCUGCUUUCCCUUGUGGAUUGCGGGUACUCGAGUGGCGAACGGGUGAGUAACACGUGAGUGAUCUGCCCCCAACUUGGGUAUAAGCCUGGGAAACUGGGUCUAAUUCCCGAUAGCACUGCAGGGUGGUGCCUGUGGUGGAAAACGAUUUUCUAGUGGUUGGGGAUGAGCUCGCGGCCUAUCAGCUUGUUGGUGGGGUAAUGGCCUACCAAGGCGGGGACGGGUAGCCGGCCUGGGAGGGUGGACGGCAACAUUGGGACGGAGAUACGGCCCAGACUCCUACGGCAGGCAGCAGUGGGGAAUAAUGAACAAUGGGCGGAAGCCUGAUGCAGCGACGCCGCGGGGGGGAUGACGGCCUUCGGGUUGUAACCUCCUUUCGGCCGCGAGGAAGCCACCUGGAUGGAAGGGUGGUGACGGUAGUGGUAGAAGAAGCACCGGCUAACUACGUG